GCUGAUAUGGCUCAGUUGGUAGGGCGCACCCUUGGUAAGGGUGAGGUCCCCAGUUCGACUCUGGGUAUCAGCACCA
rnacentral:tRNA from 1 species